UACGUAGGGACCAAGCGUUGUUCGGAUUUACUGGGCGUAAAGGGCGCGUAGGCGGCAAUUCAAGUCAUCUGUGAAAUCUCCGGGCUUAAUCGUCGGAACGGUCAGAUGAUACUGCUUUGCUAGAGUGCGGAAGGGGCAAUCGGAAUUCUCGGUGUAGCGGUGAAAUGCGUAGAUAUCGAGAGGAACACCAGAGGUGAAGACGGGUUGCUGGGCCGACACUGACGCUGAGGCGCGAAAGCCAGGGGAGCAAACGGG
rnacentral:rRNA from 1 species